GGAUAACAAUCCUGUGAUGGUUCCUUCCGGGCGUUCCGGAAGGUGAAAAGGGAACACGAUAGGGAGAACUCCUCAUUCGUGGCUGCCCCCGCAACUGUGAGCGGAGAGCCUGAAACGAAAUGCCACUGGCAAGCCAUCUCACCGGGAACUGAAGGUUUCCAGAGAGGGUGACGCCGGGAAGGUGUUUCAGGUUUUGACCCGUAAGCCAGGAGACCUGCCAUCGCGGAAAUAUCCAUG
rnacentral:ncRNA from 1 species